UACAGAGGGUGCGAGCGUUGUCCGGAAUCACUGGGCGUAAAGGGCGCGUAGGUGGCGCUCCAAGUCUGUGGUGAAAGCUCGAUGCUUAACAUCGAGUCGGCCACGGAUACUGGGGGGCUCGAGCACUGUAGGGGCAGAUGGAAUUCCGGGUGUAGCGGUGGAAUGCGUAGAGAUCCGGAAGAACACCGGUGGCGAAGGCGGUCUGCUGGAUCCCUUCUGACGCUGAGGCGCGAAAGCCAGGGGAGCAAACGGG
rnacentral:rRNA from 1 species